UACGGAGGGGGCUAGCGUUGUCCGAAGUUACUGGGCGUAAAGCGCGCGUAGGCGGGUUGGUAAGUCCGCUGUGAAAGCCCGGAGCUCAACUCCGGAGGGCCGGUGGAUACUGCCAGUCUUGAAGGUGCUAGGGGGAGAUGGAAUUACCGGUGUAGCGGUGAAAUGCGUAGAUAUCGGUAGGAACACCAGUGGCGAAGGCGGUCUCCUGGGGCAUUCUUGACGCUGAGGCGCGAAAGCUGGGGGAGCGAACGGG
rnacentral:rRNA from 1 species